UCCCAGACUCCUACGGGAGGCAGCAGUGGGGGAUAUUGCACAAUGGGGGAAACCCUGAUGCAGCGACGCCGCGUGAGUGAAGAAGUAUUUCGGUAUGUAAAGCUCUAUCAGCAGGGAAGAAGGUGACAGUACCUGAGUAAGAAGCCCCGGCUAACUACGUGCCAGCAGCCGCGGUAAUACGUAGGGGGCAAGCGUUAUCCGGAUUUACUGGGUGUAAAGGGGGCGCAGACGGCAGCGCAAGCCAGGAGUGAAAGCCCGGGGCCCAACCCCGGGACUGCUCUUGGAACUGCGCGGCUGGAGUGCAGGAGGGGCAGGCGGAAUUCCUGGUGUAGCGGUGAAAUGCGUAGAUAUCAGGAGGAACACCGGUGGCGAAGGCGGCCUGCUGGACUGCGACUGACGUUGAGGCCCGAAAGCGUGGGGAGCAAACAGGAUUAGAUACCCUCGUAUU
rnacentral:rRNA from 1 species